UGCAAGCGGACCGAUGGAGAGCUUACCUCCCUGAUGUUAGCGGCGGACGGGUGAGUAACACGUGGGUAACCUGCCUGUAAGACUGGGAUAACUCCGGGAAACCGGGGCUAAUACCGGAUGGAUGUUUGAACCGCAUGGUUCAAACAUAAAAGGUGGCUUCGGCUACCACUUACAAAUGGACCCGCGGCGCAUUAACUAGUUGGUGAGGUAACGGCUCACCACGGCAACGAUGCGUAGCCGACCUGAGAGGGUGAUCGGCCACACUGGGACUGAGACACGGCCCAGACUCCUACGGGAGGCAGCAGUAGGGAAUCUUCCGCAAUGGACGAAAGUCUGACGGAGCAACGCCGCGUGAGUGAUGAAGGUUUUCGGAUCGUAAAGCUCUGUUGUUAGGGAAGAACAAGUACCGUUCGAAUAGGGCGGUACCUUGACGGUACCUAACCAGAAAGCCACGGCUAACUACGUGCCAGCAGCCGCGGUAAUACGUAGGUGGGAAGCGUUGUCCGGAAUUAUUGGGCGUAAAGGGCUCGCAGGCGGUUUCUUAAGUCUGAUGUGAAAGCCCCCGGCUCAACCGGGGAGGGUCAUUGGAAACUGGGGAACUUGAGUGCAGAAGAGGAGAGUGGAAUUCCACGUGUAGCGGUGAAAUGCGUAGAGAUGUGGAGGAACACCAGUGGCGAAGGCGACUCUCUGGUCUGUAACUGACGCUGAGGAGCGAAAGCGUGGGGAGCGAACAGGAUUAUAUACCCUGGUAGUCCACGCCGUAAACGAUGAGUGCUAAGUGUUAGGGGGUUUCCGCCCCUUAUUGCUGCAGCUAACGCAUUAAGCACUCCGCCUGGGGAGUACGGUCGCAAGAAUGAAACUCAAAGGAAUUGACGGGGGCCCGCCAAGCGGUGGAGCAUGUGGUUUAAUUCUAACAACGCGA
rnacentral:rRNA from 1 species